AUUGAACGCUGGCGGCAGGCCUAACACAUGCAAGUCGAACGAGUGGCGGACGGGUGAGUAAUGUCUGGGAAACUGCCUGAUGGAGGGGGAUAACUACUGGAAACGGUAGCUAAUACCGCAUACCAUCAGAUGUGCCCAGUUGGGAUUAGCUAGUUGGUGGGGUACCGGCGCACCAAGGCGACGAUCCCUAGCUGGUCUGAGAGGAUGACCAGGCACACUGGGACUGAGAAACGGGCCAGACUCCUACGUGAUGCAGCAGUGGGGAAUAUUGCACAAUGGGCGCAAGCCAGAUGCAGCCAUGCCGCGUGUAUGAAGAAGGUCUUCGGGUUGUAAAGUACUUUCAGCGGAGAGGCGUUACCCGCAGAAGAAGCACCGGCUAACUCCGUGCCAGCAGCCGCGGUAAUUC
rnacentral:rRNA from 1 species